rnacentral:rRNA from 1 species
AGCGAUGAGAUCCCUUCGGGGAAGGAUUAGCGGCGAACGGGUGAGGAACACGUGAGGAAUCUGCCUUCAACACUGGGAUAACUCCGGGAAACCGGGGCUAAUACCGGAUACGAGACCUGCAGGCAUCUGCGGGUCUGGAAAGUUUUUCGGUUGAAGAUGACCUCGCGGCCUAUCAGCUUGUUGGUGAGGUAAUGGCUCACCAAGGCGACGACGGGUAGCCGGCCUGAGAGGGCGACCGGCCACACUGGGACUGAGACACGGCCCAGACUCCUACGGGAGGCAGCAGUGGGGAAUAUUGGGCAAUGGAGGGAACUCUGACCCAGCGACGCCGCGUGCGGGAUGAAGGCCUUCGGGUUGUAAACCGCUUUCAGCAAGGAAGAAGCGAAAGUGACGGUACUUGCAGAAGAAGCACCGGCUAACUGUGUGCCAGCAGCCGCGGUAAUACAUAGGGUGCAAGCGUUGUCCGGAAUUAUUGGGCGUAAAGAGCUCGUAGGUGGUUCGUCACGUCGGAUGUGAAAAUCUGGGGCUUAACCCCAGACCUGCAUUCGAUACGGGCGAGCUAGAGUGUGGUAGGGGAGACUGGAAUUCCUGGUGUAGCGGUGGAAUGCGCAGAUAUCAGGAGGAACACCAAUGGCGAAGGCAGGUCUCUGGGCCAUUACUGACACUGAGGAGCGAAAGCGUGGGGAGCGAACAGGAUUAGAUACCCUGGUAGUCCACGCCGUAAACGGUGGGCACUAGUUGUGGGAACCUUCCACGGUUUCUGCGACGCAGCU